rnacentral:rRNA from 1 species
CAGCCGCCGCGGUAACACGGAGGGUGCUAGCGUUGUUCGGAAUCACUGGGCGUAAAGGGCGCGUAGGCGGCCUGUUAAGUCGGAUGUGAAAGCCCGGGGCUCAACCCCGGAACUGCAUCCGAGACUGGCAGGCUUGAGACCGGGAGAGGAGGGUGGAAUAUCCAGUGUAGAGGUGAAAUUCGUAGAUAUUGGAAGGAACACCAGUGGCGAAGGCGACCACCUGGACUGAUACUGACACUGAGGUGCGAAAGCGUGGGGAGCAAACAGGAUUAGAUACCCCGGUAGUCCCUGUCUCUUAUAC